AUGUGUUCAGCGGUCUUCUGGGCGGAGUUUUACGGUCCAAUGAGGGAUGAACAAAGCUGCAGUGUAACUGUUGAAGACAUGCAGCCCGAUGCUUUCAGAGGACUGCUUCAUUUCAUCUACAAGGAUUCGUUGCCUCGGAUGGGUGACCUGAAUAAUGACGAGUAUGAAGACAUUCUUAGGCAUUUGCUUGUCGAUGCAGAUAGGUAUGCCAUGGAAAGGAUGAAAUUGAUGUGCGAGAGCAAGCUCUGCGAGGUUCUAAGUGCCGAGACUGUGGGUACCACGCUAGCUCUAGCCCACCAACGCCAUUGCAGCCAGCUCAAAGAUGCUUGCAUUGAGUUUAUUAUGAACUCUUCGAAUCGAAUGGUUGAUGUGGUGGUGGCAAGUAAAGGCUAUGAGACCCUGAAAAGGGAAUGCCCUACUGUCAUUGCGGAUAUAUGGGAGAAAACAGCUAAGAGACGCAGACUUUAA
rnacentral:rRNA from 1 species